GUGGCCAUCGCUGAUGACGUUUGUGCUGAAAUUUGGGAAUGGGUAAAGGGCCUUCACCCGUUCCCAUAUUUCAUCACAAACGCCAUCACGGAACGUCUGCA
rnacentral:pre_miRNA from 1 species